rnacentral:rRNA from 1 species
UGGGGAAUAUUGGACAAUGGGCGAAAGCCUGAUCCAGCAAUGCCGCGUGAGUGAUGAAGGCCUUAGGGUUGUAAAGCUCUUUUACCCGGGAAGAUAAUGACUGUACCGGGAGAAUAAGCUCCGGCUAACUCCGUGCCAGCAGCCGCGGUAAUACGGAGGGAGCUAGCGUUGUUCGGAAUUACUGGGCGUAAAGCGCGCGUAGGCGGCUUUGCAAGUUAGAGGUGAAAGCCCGGAGCUCAACUCCGGAACUGCCUUUAAAACUGCAUCGCUAGAAUUGUGGAGAGGUGAGUGGAAUUCCGAGUGUAGAGGUGAAAUUCGUAGAUAUUCGGAAGAACACCAGUGGCGAAGGCGACUCACUGGACACAUAUUGACGCUGAGGUGCGGAAGCGUGGGGAGCAAA